UGACUCUCUUAAGGUAGCCAA
rnacentral:ncRNA from 2 species